rnacentral:lncRNA from 1 species
GUAUCAUCACCAUCAUCAUGGUCAUCAACAUUGGCACCACCAUCAUGGUCAUCAUCAUCACCAUCAUCAUCACUGUCAUCAUCAUCCACCACCAUCACCAAUAUCACCAUCACCAUCCUUAUCAUCAUCCACCAUUAGCACCACUAUCAGGGCCAUCAUCAUCAUCACUGUCAUCAUCCACUAUCACCACCACCAUCAUGGUCAUCAUCAUCAUCACCAUCAUCAUCACUGUCAUCAUCAUCCACCACCAUCACCAAUAUCACCAUCACCAUCCUUAUCAUCAUCAUCCACCAUCAUCACCACUAUCAGGGCCAUCAUCAUCAUCACUGUCAUCAUCCACCAUCACCACCACCAUCAUGGUCAUCAUCAUCAUCACCAUCAUCACUGUCAUCAUCAUCCACCACCAUCACCAAUAUCACCAUCACCAUCCUUAUCAUCAUCCACCAUCAGCACCACUAUCAGGGCCAUCAUCAUCAUCACUGUCAUCAUCCACCAUCACCACCACCAUCAUGGUCAUCAUCAUCAUCACCAUCAUCAUCACUGUCAUCAUCAUCCACCACCAUCACCAAUAUCACCACCACCAUCCUUAUCAUCAUCAUCCACCAUCAUCACCACUAUCAGGGCCAUCAUCAUCAUCACUGUCAUCAUCCACCAUCACCACCACCAUCAUGGUCAUCAUCAUCAUCACCAUCAUCACUGUCAUCAUCAUCCACCACCAUCACCAAUAUCACCAUCACCAUCCUUAUCAUCAGCAUCACCAUCACCAUCACCAUCAUGGUCAUCAUCAUCAUCACUGUCAUCAUUGUCAUCACCAUCACCAUUGUCACCAUCGUCUACCACUAUCACCAAUCAGCAUCCUUAUAACCACCAUCAUCACCAUAUCACUACCACCAUCAUCAUCGUCAUCAUCAUCACCACCACUGUUAUCAUCCACCAUCAUCACCACCGUCAUGGUCACCAUCGUCAUCAUUAUCACCAUCAGCAGCAGAGUUACUAUGCCAUUUAUUAAAUAUCACCUGCAUGCUAGGUUCUAUGCUAACCAUUUAUGCUCAUUAUCACUUAACCUUCAGAUAAAGAGCACUAUCCCCAGUUUCAACAUAAGGAAGUUGAAGUUCCAGAGAUUAAGCAACUUGCUUAGGAUGACACAUCUACUUAGAAAGGCUGUAGAACAGCCCAGAUUACAGACAGGUACAAAUCCUACUUCCAGCACUAAUUAG